GUGUGGGGUUAUGGGGGCUGUGGGGUUAUGGGGUGGGGGGUUAUGGGGUUGGUAUGGGGUCUAUGGGGUUGGUAUGGGGUUAUGAUUAUGGGGUUAUGGGGCUGGGACUGCUGGCGGCCCUUCUGCUGCUGCUCUGCGCCGCACUCACAGCGCUGCUGCUCAGGAGGAGGGCGAGGUGUGGGGUUAUGGGGUCUGUGGGGUUAUGGGGUGGGGGGUUAUGGGGUUGGUAUGGGGUUAUGAUGGGGUUGGUAUGGGGUUAUGGGGCUGGGACUGCUGGCGGCCCUUCUGCUGCUGCUCUGCGCCGCCCUCACAGCGCUGCUGCUCAGGAGGAGGGCGAGGUGUGGGGUUAUGGGGUCUGUGGGGUUGGUAUGGGGUCUGUGGGGUUAUGGGGUGGGGGGUUAUGGGGUUGGUAUGGGGUUAUGAUGGGGUUGGUAUGGGGUUAUGGGGCUGGGACUGCUGGCGGCCCUUCUGCUGCUGCUCUGCGCCGCACUCACAGCGCUGCUGCUCAGGAGGAGGCCGAGGUGUGGGGUUAUGGGGUCUGUGGGGUUAUUAUGGGGUCUGUGGGGUUAUGGGGUGGGAGGUUAUGGGGUUGGUAUGGGGUUAUGGGGCUGGGACUGCUGGCGGCCCUUCUGCUGCUGCUCUGUGCUGCUCUCACAGCGCUGCUGCUCAGGAGGAGGGCGAGGUGUGGGGUUAUGGGGUCUGUGGGGUUGGU
ensembl:lncRNA